rnacentral:rRNA from 1 species
ACAGUUUCGAGGUAGUGACGAGAAAUAACAAUACAGGGCAUUUUAUGCUCUGUAAUUGGAAUGAUGGGAAUGUAAAACCCUUCCAGAGUAACAAUUGGAGGGCAAGUCUGGUGCCAGCAGCCGCGGUAAUUCCAGCUCCAAUAGUGUAUAUUAGAGUUGUUGCAGUUAAAAAGCUCGUAGUUGGAUUUCUGUCGUGGUCAUCCGGUACCGCCCGUACGGGUGUGCACCUGGUUUGCCCGCGGCUUUCUUCCGGUAGCCUCCCGCGCUUAACUGCGUGCGUUGGUGUUCCGGAACUUUUACUUUGAGAAAAAUAGAGUGUUUCAAGCAGGCUUGUCGCCCUGAAUACUUCAGCAUGGAAUAAUAAGAUAGGACCUUGGUUCUAUUUUGUUGGUUUCUAGGACCAAGGUAAUGGUUAAUAGGGACAGUUGGGGGCAUUCGUAUUUAACUGUCAGAGGUGAAAUUCUUAGAUUUGUUAAAGACGAACUACUGCGAAAGCAUUUGCCAAGGAUGUUUUCAUUAAUCAAGAACGACAGUAGG